rnacentral:rRNA from 1 species
CCUACGGGAGGCAGCAGUGAGGAAUAUUGGUCAAUGGUCGGGAGACUGAACCAGCCAAGCCGCGUGAGGGAUGAAGGUACAGAGUAUCGUAAACCUCUUUUGUCAGGGAACAAAGGCGGGGACGUGUCCCCGGAUGAGUGUACCUGAAGAAAAAGCAUCGGCUAACUCCGUGCCAGCAGCCGCGGUAAUACGGAGGAUGCGAGCGUUAUCCGGAUUUAUUGGGUUUAAAGGGUGCGCAGGCGGUCUGUUAAGUAAGCGGUAAAAGCCCGGGGCACAACCCGGGCCCGCCGUUGAAACUGGCAGUCUCGAGUUGGAGAGAAGUAUGCGGAAUGCGCGGUGUAGCGGUGAAAUGCAUAGAUAUCGCGCAGAACUCCGAUUGCGAAGGCAGCAUGCCGGCUCCACACUGACGCUGAGGCACGAAAGCGUGGGUAUCGAACAGGAUUAGAUACCCGAGUAGUC